rnacentral:lncRNA from 1 species
UGAGAAGGCCCAGAGACGUGCCUUCCUCUUCUUUCCAGGGUCCUGGCCUGUCUUGUCUGUUGGGCGGGUAUGCUUCCUUCCUGGCCUUCCUUGUGGAGCAUGUCUGGGAGUGUGCUAGGAAAUGAGGGAGGAAAAUAUGUAACUUGAUAUCUGCUCCUUGACCCUGGCUGACCUGGUUAACUCUCUCCAGGAUGGAAGCAAAGCCUGCCCGGGAAACCUUCCAUUGCAGGAACAUCUCGGCCUGAAGCUGUCAUCAGGGAGCAGGAUCUGCUUCCCGGACUCUGAGCAGAACAAUGGGAGCCCCAGCAGGCUGGCGAGGCUGACAAGCCCUAGGACGGUGACCUCUCCGAUCUCCAGAUCGGAAACUCAGAAACGUGUAAGUGCCAGAAUCCGCAUUUGGGAAUCUGUUAUUUCUCCCUCUGCGAGUCAACCUGAUCACCCUGGAAGCCUCACUGUCUCUCAGCCCUUGUUCCCAUUUUUCUUUCCAUGAACACCGCAAUCAGAUACGAGAUUCCAGUAAUGAUGGUUCUUGAAAAUUAAACAAAUCAAAAAGAAAGCCAGCCAAGGUAUGGAGUGGGGGACCUCUAAGUUCCCCUGGAGGAGACACUGGGGCCAGGUUCCGAGGUGCAUUCGGAGCCAGAAUCCCUAAUGGAAUUGAACAAUUAUCCUGAAGCUGCUCUCUGAAAGCCGCGGUUUUCCUAAAACACUGUGCUUGGCGUGCCUGGGCUUCUUGGCACUGGCCCAUGACCCACAGCAGCAAAUCGUUCCCAGGAAGCUAUUGUUAUUUGUGUAUCUGAUAGCAUUCAGCUGAGUACACUGACAGCAACAUUUAGAAAGGAAAAGAAAAAAGAAGCGUAGAGUGAAAAGGACAAAAAGGAGGCUUCCAACAUCCUGGUGGGAACAGAAAACCAGCAAAGCCUCUUUUCCAGCCCUUAUCCUUGUGAGUUUGGACUCUGCAGAACUGUCAUCCCCCAGGCAUAGCUGCAGCUUGUAUGAAGGUGGGCAUCAGGCGCGGAGAUUCAGGACAGUGUGCACCUGCUUUCCUCCAACGGGACCCCCUCUGUUCUUCCCAGGAAUGCCUGUAAACUGCCACUGCCUCUAGGGGCUGCACCAAGUCCCUGUGUACUCCCAGGACACAAUGGAGUGGAAUGGAGUGGCUCUGUUCUGUCAGGGCCUAACAUUCCAAAUGAAUUCAUUCCCUUCUGGGAAAAAAGAACCACCUUGCUCAGAGCACAAUGUUCCCAUGUCUUGGCUUACCUUGAAGCAUUUUUGAUACACCUGUUGGGACAAUGCGUUCUGCCAAGAGAAGGGAAGUAGCAUACUUUGUUCUAUUUUUUACUCUCAAUGGGCUACGUUUCCAUUGUGUUGGUUUCCCUUACAGAAAGUAACACACACAGAAGAGAAGGUUAUAGGAUUCCAUGCUGCUUGGCAAAGGCACAAAAUAUGUGCACAUAUUUACAUGGAAUAUGAGGGUAAACUAGAAAAUUAAGGGUAAUCUAAAAUAGAAAAAAAGAAGAAAACAAUAAGUUAAAAGUAUGAAAAGACAUCCAGAAUGAGCAAGUUACUGAGGUUGUGCCUCAACUUUAGCUUGAGUUUCCUGGCAGCAAAGGUAAAAAGAAAGAGCACAGUGGCUGCAGCACAGAGCGUGAAUUGAGGGGAGCAAGACUGGCCACGGCGAGAAGGCAACACGCAGGUGAUCUUACAGCUGGAAAAUCAGUGGGUGAAAACGGAGAUACAGCAACUCUAAUUUUCCAUGAAGUUCAUUUUUACUUUACUUCUGGAAUAAAAACCAUCUGGCUUUAGAAGGAAGAGACCAUACAGAAGGAUGUGGGCUUGACACAGUGACGGGCUCUUGGCAGUCUGAAGAAGCAUGAACCAGAACUAAGCCUGGUCUCUCAGGAUUUGGUGGAUGUCUAAGUUGCAGGGUUAAGAAGUUGCAGUUCCUUCUUUCAACUCAACCUCUAGCAGUUGGAUACAGAAGCAAUUGUCGAACCUGGGCACCUAAGGGGACAGGACUGUCAGUGUCCUGGAAAUCAUGUUCUUCUCUUUGGUUUUCACCACCUCUUAAUGGCAUAUCUUCUAUAUUUCCUUUAAUGCGAACACAGGUAACGAGUUGGUUAUAACCCUUUUCUCAGGGCCAGGCUGCCAUGCCAUCGCUCCUCCAGAGAGCAAACACGAAACAUGAUCCUAUGGCAAGAACAUACAAUGCCAGGUCCCUGGAUUUAGGUCCUGCUCUGUCAUUGACUGUAUAUUCCCAUAAAGAAGAUUAAAACUC